UUUAGAGUCAAAGCAGAUAGAAAAUUGAAUUAAAAAAAGAAAAAGUUCUGCUAGAUCUGGUUUACUCUUUUCUAAAACUUUGCAUGUCUCUUCUCUCUUGCUCUAUCAUGUCUCCUUUUCCAUUUUCAAUUUAUCUCAGCCUAGAUACACCAAGCCUUAAAUGAAAUUAAUGUUUUUCUUUUCUCUACCUUAACACCUGCCUGUCAUCGCACCACCCGCCCCAAGUUUGGAGCAUUUGCAUUGUUUACAUUGAUUGGUAUUGAAAGCUGCUCUCCUGAUCUGUUCUCCAUCCAGCAUUGCAUCCUUGUAGCUUAUUCCCCUGAUGUUGCUGCCUCCUUGUCCUUGUGCACCACCCUUCCCCUGAGAAUGAUCCCCCCGCUCUCGCUUUGGGCUCCCUUUGCUCGUUGGAGGUGUAAUGGUGCUGUGGCAAACCCAGCACCCAAAUGCUCUUUGUGGCCCUCUGCAGGUGUGAGCACGCUGGGAACUCUUGGGUUUGGGAGCAGUUUCAGGAACUCCUUGUCUUCUCCAGCCACAACUGACCUUGGGAGGACUCAAUGAUUGUAAGCACAGAGAGCGCUGCCUUGUGACGUACCAUCUUCAUCCGUCACGUCCUGUGUAUGGAGCACUGGCCCAGGAGACCUCACCUACAAGUUCAUCAGAGACUGUGCAAUGGGGGACUUGAGCAAGACUGUCUGCUCAGGACAUCACAAGAUUUACCAGCAAGAUGUCCAGGACUCAAGGAAGUGGGAUCAGGCCUCAUCUUUGAAAACUGUCUCUGCUGGGGAACAGUCUGGCAAGGCCAACAGCAGCCAGGAAUCUCACUGUUGUCAUUCUCGUUACACACAUCCUACCAACUGUUUGUCAUCUUGCCACCAAACAAGCUCCUGAGGCCCAGUGAUGCUGUUCAGAUGAAUCCCUGGCCACCUGGCACCCGGUCCUGCAUUCUCCUGAAGAGCACGUGGAUAUGAACACCAUGUCCUAGGAGGAUAACAGGAGAUGGUUUACCUAGAGAGGUAACCAGAUUCUGUCUAAGAAACCUCAGUAUUUCCAAUAACAAACCUAGGAGCAGCUGGCACUGGGUUUUCUGGAACACUUUUUAUGCAUUUUAAUUGCCAGUGGUCUGAAGACUUUGGAUGAACCUCAUUCUAAACUUCAGGCUCUCAUGUCUCGAGGCCAUCAGAUGCACCAGGUGCUGAAGAGAUUGAGCAGUGAAUGCAUUUGAGGCCAUGCAAGCACCACAGAAUUGGCUCCUGGUCUGCAUGUUGUCCAUCUGGCAUAGGAUUUCUUUUGUGAGGGUAGGGCCUUUGGCCAAUUUAUUGUAUCUGAUGGGUUCAGAACAAGGACCAUACUGCAUGAAUUGUGGGGCAGUGUAGAAACAGGCAGAUAUUAGUGUCCCCUGUUGCUAACUGAUUACAAAAAAAACCCUUUGGGGGCAUUGUGAAGACUCCUGCUCUGAAGGAUUAAUAUAUUUUCUUGGUGAUGCAUCAGUGUUUUCUGACUGAAAUGACUCUAAGACAAUAAUUCUUUAGGUAAUACAGAGUAAGAGCAGGAAGGAUACAGGUGAACUUGGAGGAGGUGAGCUUUAGGGCUUCCCCCCUACAUCUGAAAUGUGGCACCAAGGCACCCAGGUGAGCACUCACCAGGCUGCUUCACUUGCAAGACAAACAUGCAGCUUAGCCCAGGGCACCCCCCUUGCCCAGAGCUCUUCUCCACUUCAGCUGAAUGGUAUCCACCACCUGAUCCACCUGUGCAAACAGGGCAUGGCCUGUUGAUGGCAUGGUUUGCAUUGACCUUAAACUGAGAUAUUUCAAUUCGUAUUUAGAGUGAGGAAUAAGUAAAACCUUUAGUGUUCACGUGGCACACCUUUCUGUGCCCAUGCAACCCAGUCUAAGGUCUGCCCCUAAAUUCCAGCUGAUUGUGGGAGUUCGGGAUUUGUCAGGAUGGGAGUCUGAGUCUUGUUGUCAGAGAGAACUUUUGAAAAAAUUGUGGUUGGUG